GACGAACGCUGGCGGCGUGCUUAACACAUGCAAGUCGAACGGAAAGGCCCUGCUUUUGUGGGGUGCUCGAGUGGCGAACGGGUGAGUAACACGUGAGUAACCUGCCCUUGACUUUGGGAUAACUUCAGGAAACUGGGGCUAAUACCGGAUAGGAGCUCCUGCUGCAUGGUGGGGGUUGGAAAGUUUCGGCGGUUGGGGAUGGACUCGCGGCUUAUCAGCUUGUUGGUAGGGUUGUGGCUUACCAAGGCUUUGACGGGUAGCCGGCCUGAGAGGGUGACCGGCCACAUUGGGACUGAGAUACGGCCCAGACUCCUACGGGAGGCAGCAGUGGGGAAUAUUGCACAAUGGGCGGAAGCCUGAUGCAGCAACGCCGCGUGCGGGAUGACGGCCUUCGGGUUGUAAACCGCUUUCGCCUGUGACGAAGCGUGAGUGACGGUAAUGGGUAAAGAAGCACCGGCUAACUACGUG
rnacentral:rRNA from 1 species